CAAAACAGCGAUGUGGAGCAAACCCCUAAAAAAUGGUCUCAGUUCAGAUUGCAGGCUGCAACCCGCCGUGCAUGAAGUCGGAAUUGCUAGUAAUCGCGGAUCAGCAUGCCGCGGUGAAUACGUUCCCGGGCCUUGUACACACCGCCCGUCACACCAUGGGAGCCGGUAAUACCCGAAGUCAGUAGUCCAACCUCGUGAGGACGCUGCCGAAGGUAGGAUUGGCGACUGGGGUGAAGUCGUAACAAGGUACC
rnacentral:rRNA from 1 species